UUCAGCACCGAAGAGUACGCAUUCGCUGCCCCUGCUAACUGGGCAGCAAGGCCUAGCCCAGGUUUCUCUCCUCUGGGUUGCAGUGCGUCUGACGCAGGGUCUGAGGCUCUGCUUUCUCCUCGGCGGGCUCCUGUCUCAGAUAGGCUCCUUCAGGCUCGUUGUAAGAUGGCUCCAGAACUUCCAAUCUUGCACCUACCUGGAUUCACGUCCAUUGGGAAAGAAUGUCUGUGCCUUUCCCAGCAUUCCUGGCACAGGUCUCUCCUAAACCAAUCGUGGUUUUGUGAUUGUGAUGCUCCAUUGAUAAAGGCCAAAGGCACAUAUAUUUUGGGUGAGUUUCACCCCACUCAAAGCACGGGACUGAGAGAUGGAGAGGAAUGGUUCUCAGGAGGCAUCCAAAGGUGGUGACGAGAGGAAAGGUGAAUGGCAGGGUUGUGGAGUGGUUGGCUCAUUUCUGCUUUGGGCUGCAGAAUGACUAAGCUUGGCCCCAGGAUGUGGACUGGGUUCAGGUUUAGUCUAUUUCCUCUCAUCUUCCUGGGAACAGGAGCCACCUCGGGUAUGUUCUUCUUGUGGUGAGUGGCAGAAACACACCGCGCCUUUUAAGACCUUGGCUCAGAACUGGCACGCCUAUUGGCUCUGCCCAUAUUCCUUUGGCCAAAACAAGUCAGAAGGCCAAGCCCAACAUCAGUGGGGCAGAGAAAUAUACUGAAAAAUAAUCCAGUUCAUCACAGUGUUGGAAAAAGUGAGCUCAGCAAUAGGAUUAGAAUGGGCUGCUCCAAAUUUCCCAAACUCCAUCCCUGUGGCUUUAUUCACAGUUGUCCCAUGUUCACAUGGACAUGUGUGAAAAGUUUCUGCUGAGAAAAUCAUGUAUCAAGUUCUUUUGUCUCCCUAACUUCCCUUUCCCCUGGCCUCAGCCUUCAGUCUGCCUCUAGAUUUUCCUGCACCAACUGUCUGUGAUUCACUUCACCUCUUUUUGAGGCUGUGAGGGCUGAUACAAGAGCUAUGGUGGGUGAGUGUCAACAGCAGGUGAGUGCCCACCUGUCUGGAACAUUGUGGAAAGAAUUCUUGCCGUGAGUGGGAGAUUGGAUA